GAGAGUAUAGCUCAGUGGUGGAGUGUGUGCUUAGCAUGCAUGAGGUCCUGGCUUCAAUUCCCAGUACCUCCG
rnacentral:tRNA from 1 species